GAUAGCACUCGGCAGUAAAUGAAGGUAGACAAAACCGGCAUGUAGGCUUACUGGGUUGGAUGUUUUCUUUUCCCCAGGUUGUCCUUGAGAUUCCAACUCUUCCUAAUUGGCCCCGGGGGAGAGAGGCGAGCUUGGCUCCUAUCAGAGGAAGACAGAGUUGUUGAGUGUCCAAAUGAAACCAGCAAACCAGCGAUGGUGUCUGAGGAUUCAGACAACUGGUCUGAGGUGAGCCAAAAGAAAAAAGAAAGGCUCACAAGUUUUCAAGGAUGCAGCUAUCAUGGAUCCAUGCCACAAAAUCGUUCAUUGCCUACUCAGCCCAUUGCAUCACUAAAGAUUGUUCUCAGGCCCUGAGUUUUGCUUCAAGCAUAUUAUCAUCUUAAAAUUUUACUUUCCUAGACUUACAUAAAUUGAUACAGAGUAAAAUAAGUAGAACCAGGGGAACAUCGUACACAGUAACAGCGCUAUGAUGGAAUGAUCAGCUGUGAUCAGCAAUACAAUGAUCCAGGACAAUUCUGAAGGACUUACAACAAAGAAUGCUAUGUACCUCCAAAGAAAGAACUGUUGGAGUUGAAAUGAAGAUGAAAGCAUGCAUUUUUCACUGGUUUAUUUGGGGGUUUUAGUUUUUUAUGAUUAUUCACUUACAAAAUUAUUCAUAUGAUUGUUCACUUACAAAAAUGAACAGUAUAGAAAUAGGUUUUGCAAAAUAAUACAUGUAUAACCCAGACUGAAUUACUUGCCAUCUUUGAGAGGGGGAAGAGAAGGGAGGAAAGGAGACAAUUUGGAUUAUAUAACUUCAGAAAACAUGUGGAAAUUUAUUAUUACAUGUAAUUGGUAAAUAAAUAACUUUUUUUUAAAAUUUCCUUUCCUUUCCUCUGCAUCCUCCAGUAUAUAAAAUAAAAUACUGUCAUUGAAAGCCCUUCAUACCUCUUCCUGCCUUUCCACUGUUCUUACACCUUACUUUUUUCCACAUACUCUGAUCCGGUGGCACUGAACUCCUUGCUUUUCCUCAUACGAAACAUUGUGUUACUUGUCUUCAUACUUCCUUACUGUCUGUUCUUUUUGCCUAGACCUCUCUGCUUCAUCAACUCUGCCUUGGGGCUUCCAUGACUUUCUUCAAGUCUCAACUAAUUUCUGCAAGAAGCCAUCCCUGACCCUCUUUAAUCUUAGUUCCUUCCCUCUGAAAUUAUUUCUGCUUUAUCCUGUUGUCAUCUUGUUUGUGCAAAGUUGUUAGCAUGUUGUCUCCUUUAUUAGACUGUGAGCUCCUUGAGAGCAGGGACUCUGGUUUUAAAAAAUUUUUCUUUAUACUCCAAAUGCUUAGCAUAGUGCUUGAGACAUAAUUCUUUCUUUCUUUCUUUGUUUUUUUUUUAAACCCUUACCUUCCAUCUUGGAGUCAAUACCGUGUAUUGGCUCCAAGGCAGAAGAGUGGUAAGGGCUAGGCAAUGGGGGUCAAGUGACUUGCUCAGGGUCACACAGCUAGGAAGUGGCUGAGGUCAAAUUUGAACCUAGGACCUCCCAUCUCUAGGCCUGGUUCUCAAUCCACUGAGUUACCCAGCUGCCCCCCAUAAUUCUUUCUUAAUAAAUGCUUGUUGGUUUUACUUUCAUCAAGCUAGUGACAGUAUCUUGAGUGAAUUAUAAGAUUUAGAUCAGAAAAGGAACUUUAGAGAUUAAUUAGUUGAACCUUCCUUUGAUAUCCAGAAGAGUGAGGCAAGUCCUGUUCUCUUCCUCUGUUUCCUGAACAAGGCAUCAAAUGUGAAGUUCCAUAGAUUAAUCCAAACUUUAGAUAAAUUGGUCCAUUUCAGUCCAGAGUUGUAGUUCUGGGCCACAGAUUCCACACUGAUAAGCCAAUUUUAUCAAAGGGGGUUUCAUAACUUGCUCUAGCUUACACAGCCAAUAGGUAGCCCAGACAGAAUUUAGACCCGAGUCUUUUGACUCUAAAUGCAGUGUUCUUUCCAUUACUUCAUGAACCUUCUGUCUUUUGUAAACCUUAAAAUUUCUUAGACUUAUGAAUGUUGGAAAUUUCCCCAUUGGGAAAUUUCAUACUUGAAAAAAUCUCCUACUGAUAGUAAGAACUCUAUUGGAAUAUGAAACUCCUUGGCAUGGGAGGGUCCUUCUCCUCCCUACUUAAGACUACUUUAGGACAGAAACCUUUUGCUAAACAAUGGAAAGGGCUUUGACCUAUGCUUAAGCAUAGAACAGGAAGUUCUUUGAGUCAUGAUUGAUUUUAGAAUUGAUACAAUAGAGAUACUUGGAAUGACAGAACCAGGUCUUGGAACUUACAAUCUCCACCUUGCUCAGAGUAACAGGAUUUAGGAAGGGCUGCAACAAAGAUCAAGAUUUAAUUAUUUGAGAAUAUGACCUUCAACAGACAUGUGCAAAGGAAACAGACCUCUGGGUGGUCCUGGGUUAAGCUAGAGCCACCAUUGGCACAAGGGAGACAUCGACAGUGAUUGGUAGAUGUGAGAACUGAGGGGAGGGGACUUCAUGGUUUGAAAAAAGAUAGUGGGGCCUGAGGAGGAGGAGGAGGUUUUGCUCUGAGAGGUUUUGCUCUGAAGGAGGCUGGAGGUGGAGGCCCCUGAGACCGUUUCUCCAUUUUGGUCACGUGAGUGAUAGGGACUGAUCUCUUUUCUUUGCCCCAGCUAUCUAAGGGCUUGGGCCUUUGGCCCAGCCUAAGCAGAGGGGGUAUUUAAGCCCUAUUCCCUUCUCUCCCCUUUCUCUCUCUCUCUCUCUCUCUCUCUCUCUCUCUCUCUCUCUCUCUCUCUCUCACAUACCUUUCUUCCUCCUGUUUGUAAUUAAAAACUCCAUAAAAAGUUGACUGCUGACUUGAGUUUUCAUUUAGGAAUUACAUAGCUGAAUUCCUUGGCGACCUUAAAUUAAUAUAUAUCAGUCUUUUAAAGUGAUUUCCAUAUCACACUUUUCAAUGUCUCUUCUUCACUCUGAGUUUUGGUCAUCUUCCACUCUAUAAUACUGACUAGUUCACUAGCCUCUCUGCCUCGAAUCUUGCUUCUUCUACUUCAGUCAGCAUGCUCUACCCUAAAUGAGGAGUGUGGUAGAAAUCAAAUUACAAAGGGGGUCACUAAACCCAUUCCUAAGGAUCCCAGAGGACUACACAUAUUAACCUAAAAAAUACAAAUUAGCAUUAUCUAGGUUUAUAGUAUUUUUAUUUAUUUUGUUAAAUAUUUUUCUUUAUUGCAUUUUUUAUUUUAAUAAUCAAUUUCCACAUAAGUUUCCCAAAGUCAUGUGAUCCAUAUUGGGUGCCUCCCUUCUUUCCUACCCUUUCCCAGAGCUGAUCAUUGAUUCACUCUGGGCUAUACAUGUAUUAUCAUGCAAAACAUUGUUAAAUAUUUUUCAAAUACAUUUUAAUACAAUUCUGGUCAAACUCCAGAGUGUUGUGAGCCACUGGCUAAUUAGGUAUUUGUCUCUGUUUGAAACAGUAUUCUUCCUGAUGAUAAGAUUAUGUUAGUCUCUUAGGGCAACUAAGUGACUCAGUGGGUAGAAUGCCAGGCCUGGAGAUGGGAGGUCCUGGGUUCAAAUGUGACCUCAGACACUUCCUAGCUGUACAAAUUUGGGGAAGUCACCUACCCUCAAUUGCCUACCUCUUAUUGCUCUUCAGCCUUGGAACCAAGACUUAGUAUGGCUUUUAAGAUAUAAAGUAAAGGUUAAAAAAAAAAAGACUACAUUAGUCCUUCCUCUCCCUAGAUCCUUUCUCCUAUAUAGUAUUCUGGGUUUUUUUAAAUUCACUUUCCUUUUGUAGCUCAAAAGAUGAUGUCCUAGAGUUAAUAUGAAAGGCUCAUCUUUUCAUCAUAUCUUUUGCCUGAAUUUGUACAGGAACCUUAAGAACUCAAUGAAGGGUUUCCUGGGCUUUGUUCUUUUGCCUAAAGCCUUUCUAAAGGAGCACGUUUUUGUUGGUUUUUUUCAAUGAAGUGAUGUGGUAGAUGAAAUUUAUUACUCACAUUGCUCGACUCCCAAAUCUUUAGAGGUACAAUCGUCUCAAGUACAGACUGUUCUGAGAACUGACAUCAUCCAAUUCAAUUGGAAGCAGAAAUCUUCAACAACGGGAACCAAAGUUCCAGCGAUUUAAUAGUCUGCUGUUUGUAUUUCGGUUUAAGUGCUCUAAAAGGAGUAGAAAACUUUUUAGAAUAAAGCAACAACAACCCACAGAAAGCCCCAGGUACAAUAAGUAAAAGAAAUAGGAGUUUUAGAGGUUAAAAUUCCCCCAAAGUAUGAACAGCUAAACAAUCACCAACAAAGGGUAAAUAAAUCACAACUGCUUUGCCCCCAGUUCUCCAUUCUUUUUGUAUAACCUCUGGCAGGCCAAGAAAGGAAUACCAUAUGGCAUGGUUUAGAGUGGUUAGAAGAUAACCACAUAACCCUGGCAUGUAACGAACUGGGAGAGCCAGAAGCCAGCCCUCAGUAAGAAGUGUGGUUACUUCACAGCAACCAAAUACCCAGGGAUGCGUUCUCGUGUUCCACAAGCCUCUCUGGGCCCCAGCUCUCAAGCCUUGUUGAUGCACUAGGAAUUCAGUAGAGAGGAUUUCAGCAUCUGGCCACCUGUGGUCCAGGGCUGAAAUGUUCUAACGUGUGCUGAUUGCACGGUCAAGAUAGCCUAGGGAGAGAGGUGGGAAUGUGAUCAUGAUCUGUGGUUCUGGAACGUGUUUCUGAUGUGGGAUGGCAUUAACCAUCAUUCCCAAAUCAGAGCAAGUUCCACGGCAGAGCCAUACAGUAUUUCCUUUGUUUUUGACCCAAGUCUCCUGACAUUUCUAUGUUUCUAUUGACAUAACAUUUAACAGGCAGCAAUUUUAGAGUCAGCUUCCUAAGGUAUUUUUUUGAAGUGGAGUUGGUUUAAGUGAACAUUUUUAUGUUUUAAGUUCAUGUGAAGUUAUUUCUGAAGAGUUCCUUUCUUUUAUUCCUUAUCUAUAAAGUGAGGGAGUUAGACUAGAUGAUUUCUGAAGUCCCUUUUACCUCUAACAUUUUUCGCCCUGUGAAUCUAGCAACCCAUGAUUAAAGGUCCCUUUCUGAUCUGAAAUUAAAGGAUUCUGUUUCUAAAUUGCACUCUUACUCCUUUUGUAGCAGCACUUUUGCUCCCAAGAAACAAGAAUUAAGCCAAAAAACACAAAGUUGUACAAGUGUUGCCACCUAUAGGGAGAAAAUGUAUUGCAUUUGCCUAAUAAAAACAAAAAGAAAACAGAUAUUAAUU